rnacentral:rRNA from 1 species
GACGAACGCUGGCGGCGUGCCUAAUACAUGCAAGUUGAGCGCUGAAGGUUGGUACUUGUACCAACUGGAUGAGCAGCGAACGGGUGAGUAACGCGUGGGGAAUCUGCCUUUGAGCGGGGGACAACAUUUGGAAACGAAUGCUAAUACCACAUAAAAACUUUAAACACAAGUUUUAAGUUUGAAAGAUGCAAUUGCAUCACUCAAAGAUGAUCCCGCGUUGUAUUAGCUAGUUGGUGAGGUAAAGGCUCACCAAGGCGAUGAUACAUAGCCGACCUGAGAGGGUGAUCGGCCACAUUGGGACUGAGACACGGCCCAAACUCCUACGGGAGGCAGCAGUAGGGAAUCUUCGGCAAUGGACGAAAGUCUGACCGAGCAACGCCGCGUGAGUGAAGAAGGUUGUCGGAUCGUAAAACUCUGUUGGUAGAGAAGAACGUUGGUGAGAGUGGAAAGCUCAUCAAGUGACGGUAACUACCCAGAAAGGGACGGCUAACUACGUG